UUGAGACUGGGGACAGCUGUGGGGGAAUGGCACGCCACCUGGCCAAAAAGAACCAAUCAGAGGUCCUGGUACAUGGGAAUGUCCUCCUCUGGGUUGGCAUGCGAAUCUCAGUCGUGCGUGAAAUGCUAUUAACAUGUUGCCAGGCCAUUUUCCAUUGUUUUCCUCCUGGCACACAGACGUCCUUCGUCCUUCUGCCGCCUUUUCAUCGAAUGUCAGCCAUUUUGAAUAUUUUCCCCUGUCUGCUUGGGGGCUCAAAAUAGCUCCAAACUUGGUGAAUUUUUGGAAAAUGCUACGAUUUAUGGAUGAGCGUUUACAAAUGAAUCGUGGAGUCUGACCAGCUACAAAUAAGUGCGUCCUUUGCUCUUGGCUUUGAUCGAUUCGAAUCGGACGUGAUGCUUUUUAAAUUCUCACAUUUGGGAGCUUGAAAUCUAUCUAAUGGAUUAUCAUUAGUCACAGUUUCGUUUUUAUUAGCCGCUUAUGUUCCGAAUAUCCAAGGAAAGAAAAAUGAGUGACCAGUUCCAAACAACACAUAUACUGAAAGGAUGUACUUAUUAGUCCCGUCACUUACCAAGUUUAAUAAGUAACGACCAAGUGUUGUGCCUCGAUUCUCAUCAACCACAUCGAUUCCUGGCACACAAAAAAUCCAUGCCCCAUAGAAAUGCCCGCUUCCGUUCGGAGUCCCAUUCCAGGAUCCCCUCCAGAUGUCCUGGCCACGUUGCUAAUACGACGCGUUGGCCUAACCCUCAUAAGCAUAAAGCAAACAGCCAGCAAACAGUUGCAACUCAGCCAAAAGCUAUAAUAAAGUUGCGGAAGUAAACAGCAAAGCGAAAUAAACAAGAAGCGGGACGAGGCAACAGCCGAGCUGGGAAAUGAAAGGAAAGUCAACAAAACGGCAGCGGGAUUUUCGCAUUCGAAAGGGAUACAGAUACAUUUUGCAGAUACAUCUACGUCUACGGGAUGAGCCAGACUUCGGGGCAGACAGAUUUCCACAGACAAGACGGCGGCACAAUAAAAGCGGCCACAACAACAGCCGCUCAUCUGCGAUAUUAAAUUUCGAAAAAUGCCCAAUCCGUGCGGCGUUUUACUAUUUAAACAAAGCGAUUAAGGGUGCGUGGCUAGCGGCUAAAAGCGCCAUCCACAUUGAUUGACGUAAAUGAAGAAUAAUCGAAUUGCGAAUUGCGCUCAUAAAACUCUAAACUAAGUGGCGACGUUGUCGGCCGGAUCGAGUGUCAGUCAGUGCCCAUCGUGCACAGUGGAAAAAACCGAACAUUUCAAAAUGGUUACAUUCUCAAUCUACAAAAGUGCUAGUCAAAUAUAUAUUUUGUUUGGAUUACCAUAAGUUCUAUAUGCAUUUGAGAUUUAAAAGCAGUAUACAUUUAUACAUUUAUGAUUUUAACAAAUUUAAUUUUUUUCCUUACUACAAAUGAUUCUACCGCACCCACUGUGCCCAAAUCGGUAACUUUAGCUGUUGGCCCGCUCUCAUAAAUUGUCAGCAGAAAAGUGUCAAACUUGAGUUGACAGUCCCCCGGACGGAGUUUCGUCCUGGAAUCGGGCGAGGACUUCCGCUGGCCUCGCAGUUCCCAUCGCACGUCAGCGGUAAUUAGUGCAGCUUCGGCAGAAAGUCGUCUUCAAUUUCAUUGCGCCAGCAUAAUCAUCAUUAUCCUGUUGGGCCUGUUGUGUCCUUAUCCACGCGGCGGUCUCCCGUCGUCCUUGCCGCUUGCACUAAUUACAAAAUAACUUUUGCAGCUUUGUCAUCUCUGUGUACUUUUUUCGGGGGAUUCCCCACGGUGCGUAUGAUGUAUGGCUUUUCGUUGUCUGAUUUAUGAGUGAAUUAUGGGAAUGGGCGUCUGUGGAUUACUGUCGGUGAAAGGGUUUCACGCGGUUUUAAUUACCAGCCGAAACUGUGACGACUUUAAAGGCUCUCGAAUUUCAGCUCGAAAUCCGCAAAAGCAUGCGAGUGGUUUUCCCACCGUGGCGGGAAAUUGAUGAGCUUCUGUGGAUUCAGCAGACUCAUGCUGUCAAUCCACAUGUCCACCCACUCAAUCACCAAACUAAACGCUGUGCUCGUCGAUAAGCGUGCCACAUAGUAAGCGGAGUAAUAUUUCGAAUCCUUGGGAAUGGGGGAAUCUCGCAGGUCGGGGGUUAAGGGUGUGUUGCUGCCCAAAAACGAUUUCUGAGAUUUAAUAUUUAUUUUUGUUUGUGUGCAAAUAGCUGGAAGCGUCUGAGAUAUGAUGGAAACUGCGAGGGGGAAGUGAUGAAAUGGAGGAUUCUGAGAUGUCUGUUCGGUGGGAGAUUUUUCUUGCAGCUUUUGUAUAUUUUGGAUUUAUAGAGACAUGAAACUAUCAUAUAUCUCCAUAGUUUCACUACCCCACAUGGAGGAAUCGCCUUGCCCGUCCUAAUUAGCAUAUGCCUCCAUUUAGGGCUCAACUCUUUGUCCGUCGUACAACAACAACGAAAUCCAUUAGGGUCAUAGAAAGUAUAUUGCAUUUAUUCACUCGGAAUUCAUUUUUCUCUCCGCUUGCCGAACAACAAUAAGAGCAGAAUACAAAAGGCGAAAAGCGUCAGUCAGUGCAACUUUAUUUCAAGCUACAAUGCGCAGGCAGCCCACCUACUAAAACACAAAACCUCAUAUUUAUUACACUGAACAGAAAUACUGAGUAGUAUGCAGAGAAAACCCCAACAAGUUUCCAUAAAUAUAAACUUUUGUUAUAUAAAAAAAAAUAUAAACAUUUGAUUUUUCAUGUAAAAAAAUAUAUAAAGUUUUAAAACAUUAUAAAUAUUUUUUCCAACUUUUUUCCAACGCUAUGUGACAUUUUUUUGUCGAGUGUAGAAGUCCUGGUGACAGGCGGCGGUAUACCGGAAGCAAAUGCUUUUGUCGCCCGGCGUGUGCCGCUUUCUGUUGUUGCGUUCGUUUUUUGAGUUUUACCCUCAAAAUGCAUGGGCUUGCUCAUAAAUGCUAGCCUGAAUCUUUAGAAUGCCUUGAUUAAUGUUGGCGCACGUUGGCUUUUACCCCUUCCACGUCGCAGGAUAAGGGUGACCGAGAGCGGGCAAUAAAAAUGUUGUCACACAUCAUUUAGCAAGCAUUUCAAUUCGCCGUUGGACACCUGAUACCCCCUUUUCAUCUGCCUGCCCGAAGAAGAUUCGUUGCCAUUGCCUGCCAGGCAUCAUAAUGAAUCUAAUCACUUACGCUCGAGUGCAUCAAUUAUGCUGCCAUCAAGGAUCGGGCAGCAGGACGAGUGGGAGGAUGGGACCGACGGGCUGACAAAAUGACUCCAGGAUGGAGUGACAGGCGUGGUGGACGCGGAGCCAGCAGAACAGAAGCGACGACGUGCCCAUUGUUAGCUGUGAAAAUUUGUUUGCUACGUCAUCGCAACAACAAGCCCCUCAAGUUGAUAACUUUAUGAUGCUGUAAACAGACAUAUACAUACAUUUAUACAUCUAUGCACCCCAAAAAGUCGAGAAGUCUAAGAGAGGGUGGUAGUAUUAAAAAAGUUUUGAAAUGGAAUCAGUGGGAAUAGUGGGAUGACUGACAAGAGCAAUCUAUAUGAUAUAAGUUUUCGUCCUUUUGAUAUUUAAAAAAAAAAAUAGAAAUUAAUGCUAAGAAAAGAAAUAUUAUCCUUGUUAAGGAUUUUAUCGAACUUAAAAUUUGUUAAUUCAUUUUAAAGUAUUUAUCUUUUAUUUCAACUAAAAGUUAAAGUAUCUUCCCCCCUUGGUCAUCUGUGUGAAGAAGCCACAAAAUGUGUUUGUCAUCAUUAGAAAAAUAUUAAAUUUCCUCUGCCCAAGUCCAGAUCGCCCUGGCAAAAGGACACGGAUGGCAAUGGCGCAGGGCUUUAAUUGCUGCGAAUGCGAAUACUUAAAAGUUGUUGCCUUUUAUGCGGUUGCCGUCAAAGCGAAACUCAAUUAAGCUGCAGUCACCACCCCAUGAAACAUGGCCCACCCCGAAUCAACCCAUGGUCUUCCCUGAUUUAAAACUGCUGAUACGGCAGUUAAGGACGUCGGGGGACCAGGACAUCAAUAGGAGGCUUUGUCAUGGUUGCCCUGCCAGCCAGCCACCGAAUGCCUUUUCAAAGGCAUUUUUAAUUGAAAUUAUCCGAUGCUACCUUUUCGGCUUCUCCCGCAAGAUUUCCAUUCGAGUUUUGCGUUUUUCUGCUUUGUUACCUUGCAGUUGGGUUGAUUGACAUGUGAGGCGUCGUCCUGCUGCUUGGAAACUUUCCCUCGGCCUCAGCUUGUUUACAUCUUAGAGCGCUAAUAGCGGCAGACUUAAGUCUGCGAGCAAUACGCCAUAAAUCCAUGUUAAUAACGCCAUUGUCAGAGGGGCUGCAAUCCUGUCUCAAUUCGGAAGGACGCAGCUGCACUGAAAACAAUUAGUGCACAAAUGAAAUGCUUCAUAAAUGGAGCACCUUUAAGGUCCAAAGGAUACUUGCUUCUUCUUUAUAAAACACAUAUCUUCUUUAUUUCAAAGUGUAAGAUUCUGUAGUGGCCGAACGGGGGAGAUUUUCAACUCAAAAGACAUUUAAGUAGAUUAAGCGACUUUCAUGUUGUGUCUUCAGUCUUUGGGACAUCAAGCCAAAUGAACGACGACAGUGAAACAAUUCUCGAGGCACGCCCGGUGGCAAAGGACUUGAGCACGGCGAACGGCAGGAUAUAAAGCCCGGCAAUAUGCCCAGCCAGUUGCCACUCGAAAUAUAUGCAAAUAUAGUCCUUGAGCGUGGGCGUGGCAAAGGGGGCGUUGCAGCGGCAGCAGCUUCAGCAGCAAACAAUGAAAGUAAAUGCCAAAACAUUUUAUUGAUUAUCAGGCGAAAGGGAAGCUUAGACAGUAGGUUCAGGUUACAUGAUAUCGGAAUGAAAACUUUAAAUAUGAAAUUUUAUAAGUCUAAUUCAAAUGUCAACGUCAAGGUGUCUAUCUAAGUUGAAGUUCCACUGUGCGUGGUCCUUCAGCUGCCAUUAGACGGCGCCGGCGAGUGUGCUACACUUUUUUGCAGUUGUCUGACGACAAUGCGAACUGGAGUCCUGACGUCCUGGAGUCCGUGUCUGAACACCGGAGUGGGGACCCGAACUUGGGUAUGGGUAAGAGCAUUGAGCAUUUUAAUAACCGCAGUGGAGAAGCGGGAAACCCGAAUCGGAGUAAGGGAAACGAAGGGCGGCCAUAAAUUAUGCCACCCACCGACUGGAAAAAGGCGAAAACAUUGACAGUCGUCCUUCGUGGGCCGCCCGUUGAGCGAUUUGUAGUACAUCUCCCCCCUUCCCGCGACUGCGCUUUUUGGCGUGCUGAGGCCCAAAGGACCUCCCCUGGCUUUUCGAUGCGUUGGCAAUUUUAAACUCGAUCGUUAGAGAUAGCAAUAAGGAACAGAAGGAAUGAGGCUGCGAAGUGGUCAGUGCGGCGUCAUAAUGCAAUUGUAUAAUUUUCUUAAAAGCUCACUGUCGUCGACGAUGAGUGUAACAAUAAUACGCAACUGGAGUGCACUUAGUGCCGAAAGUAGCGAACCAUUUAGAGAUCACAAAGGGCAUUACAGAAAUUAAAAAUGCCCCAAAUGGGCAAUGAACCCCCAGAAAACACACAUUUGGUCAACGAAAACAAUCAGGCAAAUGGUGUGAAACAGGGCAUUUAGCUAAUUGAAAUGAGCGGGCAAAUAAAAUGCUUGCCAAAUAGUAAAUAGAAGUAAAAGUGCAAAUCCUUGGCUGCCGCAUGGAGUCACGUUUCACUUGGGGCUUAGCCCAGAGCUCCUGGCCUUCCUUUGGCAGGACCACCUGUGGCUUCCGCCCGCCAGGAUCACGUCCCAGGUGCGAAAUGAAGAUUUAUAAAAUGGCAAAUUGAUUUAGCGUGCCAAGUGUUUCCUAAUACCGCCAGCUUGAUGAAAUUUUAAUUUUCUCCCCCAGGGAGCACAAAGGUUUCCCAGCUCAUGUGGCUCGAUUUCACCCCCGAGACUUUAGUAAUUGAGGGUUAAACUAGCACAAGUUGUGGCUCAUCAACAGGUAAUUUCUGUGCGGGAUUUUUAUGACUACUUGCCGCUUGUUAGUUCGGAAAUAAAUAAUGCAUGAGGCAACUUUAAUGUAACAAGCUCAACUCAAUUUCGCCCCACAAAACCCGUAAUUUGAAUACUUGGCCGCAUCACGUUUUCCGACUUUUCUUCUAUUCCCCGUAUUGGCAAUCGCGAUACGCAUUUUUAUUAUUUUUUUUUCCUUUCCCGCUAUCUAUUGGUAAUACAAUACGUUCAAUUCUGCUUUUGGCUUUUCUUGAGCAAAUACAGCGCGGAAAAAAUUCAAUUAAAUGUAAUCGCAUCUAUUUCUUCUGCGCCCGUGACUGAUUGUUCUAAGGACGAAAGGCGCGGAAAGAAUUGAAAUUAAAAUUGAAUAAAUAGCCAAAUAAACACGCUCUUUGAAAGUAAAUGCUAAUUCCGCGCUUUUUCUCAAGUUUCCACUUUCGUUUUUUAUUAUUUUUCAUCACCCAUCUCAAGUGUGCGGAGGCACGUGCCACGCCAAAUCCUUUUAAUGUGUCUCCAAAGUUGGGAAACUCGAUUUGGGAAGUUGUCAUGUUGUAAGGAAGAAAAUCAUAUUGUAGAACUUUCAAAUCUAUGCUCAAUAAAAAUCAUACUAUUAUAUUUAUAUAUAUUUAUAUAUUUAUUAUAUAUAUAAUUUAGUGUUAGAUCUAGACAUAAGUUAAACUCCCACUUUACUUAAAGGAAACCUGACCAAAAAGAGAAAUAAACCGAAGACAGAUCAAAUUAGGAAGGCGGAAAACUUUUCAAUUACCAUCGGAUUCAAUUAAUAAUGCUGCUAUGCAGGUAGCACACACAUUUCAGCUAACCAGCUUAAAUGGGGAAAAAACGUUUUCCAUUUAGCAAGGACGCAAUGAAAUUCAAUUAACCUCAAGUGGAUGCCACAACAGCAGGAUUCGCCAUGAUGAAGGCAUAAAACAAAGGCAGAUCCUGCGGUGGCAUUCACA